rnacentral:rRNA from 1 species
UACAGAGGUCUCAAGCGUUGUUCGGAUUCAUUGGGCGUAAAGGGUGCGUAGGCGGCGCGGUAAGUCGGGUGUGAAAUCUUGGAGCUUAACUCCGAAACUGCAUUCGAUACUGCCGUGCUUGAGGACUGGAGAGGAGACUGGAAUUUACGGUGUAGCGGUGAAAUGCGUAGAUAUCGGGAGGAACACCAGUGGCGAAGGCGGAGACCUGGGGAGAUAUUGACGCUGAGGAGCGAAAGCGUGGGGAGCGAACAGG